rnacentral:rRNA from 1 species
AGAGUUUGAUCCUGGCUCAGAACGAACGCUGGCGGCAUGCCUAACACAUGCAAGUCGAACGAAGGCUUCGGCCUUAGUGGCGCACGGGUGCGUAACGCGUGGGAAUCUGCCCUUGGGUUCGGAAUAACAGUUAGAAAUGACUGCUAAUACCGGAUGAUGUCGUAAGACCAAAGAUUUAUCGCCCAGGGAUGAGCCCGCGUAAGAUUAGGUAGUUGGUGGGGUAAAGGCCUACCAAGCCGACGAUCUUUAGCUGGUCUGAGAGGAUGAUCAGCCACACUGGGACUGAGACACGGCCCAGACUCCCACGGGAGGCAGCAGUGGGGAAUAUUGGACAAUGGGCGAAAGCCUGAUCCAGCAAUGCCGCGUGAGUGAUGAAGGCCUUAGGGUUGUAAAGCUCUUUUACCAGGGAUGAUAAUGACAGUACCUGGAGAAUAAGCUCCGGCUAACUCCGUG